rnacentral:tRNA from 1 species
ACCUGGCUGGCUUGGUCAGUACAGCCUGUGACUCCUGAUCACAGGGUUGUGAGUUCAAGCCCCACACUGGGUG